AUCCAGCUGAUGAGUCCCGAAUAGGACGAAACGUGUGUCUUAGAU
rnacentral:hammerhead_ribozyme from 1 species